rnacentral:tRNA from 1 species
GCCCGAGUAGCUCAGCGGUAGAGCAGCGCAUUCGUAAUGCGAAGGUCGUAGGUUCAAUUCCUAUCUUGGGCACCA